rnacentral:rRNA from 1 species
UACGAAGGGUGCAAGCGUUACUCGGAAUUACUGGGCGUAAAGCGUGCGUAGGUGGUGAGUUAAGUCUGUCGUGAAAGCCCCGGGCUCAACCUGGGAAUGGCGAUGGAUACUGGCUCGCUAGAGUGCGGUAGAGGAGAGUGGAAUUCCCGGUGUAGCAGUGAAAUGCGUAGAGAUCGGCAGGAACACCAAGGGGGAACCCAGCCCGCUGGGCCAGUCCUGACACUGAGGUGCGACAGCGUGGGGAGCGAACAGG